UCGUGACACUAUCUGGUAGCUUUCUUAGGGGAGUGUCGAGGGGCGGGGGUUAUCCCGACCCGCUCACUCUUCUUCUCGUGCUUCCGCCUUUCCAAAGGGGUAGGCGACUACUGGCUGUCAUCCAGAGGAGGUUUUCGGGUGAGUGGGGCUCCUUCCAACAAUAAGGGGUGGAAGAGUUGAUAUUUUUUUUAUCAGCUAUAGUCGAGGCUGGGGCUUCGACCUUCGAUGGUCAUCUCGAUCGAUCGAUAAUUCUCUUCCGGGCUUGUCUAAUGAUGAGCAUGAGCAGCUCGGUCGCUUGAAGCAGGUCCUUUCUUCUUCCCGAGCAAUUAGGGACAUAAUCAAGGAGUGACUGGUCGAAGCGGGGCUUAGUCCGACUCCUCGAGGAAUGGUGAAUUUGAAGGAGUUGAGAGGGAUGCCUAGUGCUUCCUCAGCCCCUCGGGCUUCAGAGCUGGACCUGCCGGCCUCGGGGUGUCAGGAGUGACCUUCGGGGUUGGGGCCCGAACAGCCAUGCAAGAAGUCUAAGGUCUUGACCCGCAAGAGACCUGCGCCGACCGCAACGCAGGAGGCGUCUGGCGAGGCCGGGAAGCGUCUUCGCGAGGCUUCUUCGAGCAGAGCGGCCGGAGGGAGUGCUCGGGGCAAAGCCCAUGCCGAUCCUCGAGGGGAAUCGACGAGAUCUGCGUGGACUCGAGAUCUCUGUGGUACUCGGGCACGGGCCAACGUCGAGCCCUUCCAAUCGCUCUUCAUGGGGGACUUGCCUGACGGGGAGGGAACUACUCCCCUUGAGCCGCGCUGGUCGGGGCUGACGCUCGACGAUCGGAUUUGGGCGGACGAUGCUUCCUAUGGUGCUUAUCUCUGAGGUGCCCUUAUCCCUGCAAUCGCAAAGCAUGUGUAUUGCUUGCCUUCCGAGGUGCUGAUUGAUAAGUCCGCCAAGUCCUUGGUAUAGGUAGGUGUAUUGCUUUGUUAUCGAGGCUAUAGAACGGGAAGGCUUGCCCCGACUCCUCCAGUUGAUCAUUA